rnacentral:rRNA from 1 species
CAUGGCUCAGGAUGAACGCUAGCGGCAGGCCUAACACAUGCAAGUCGAGGGGGAAGCCCUUCCGGGGGCAGAAACCGGCGACCGGGUGCGUAGCGCGUAUGCAACCUACCUUUCACAGGGGGUUAGCCCGAAGAAAUUUGGAUUAAUACCCCAUAAUAUUGUUGGAUGGCAUCAUUUGGCAAUUAAAACUGAGGUGGUGAAAGAUGGGCAUGCGUCCUAUUAGCUAGUUGGAGUGGUAACGGCACCCCAAGGCUACGAUAGGUAGGGGUCCUGAGAGGGAGAUCCCCCACACUGGUACUGAGACAGGGACCAGACUCCUACGG